UUGCUAUGAUGUCUUGAAUUUCUUCACCUGAAACUUUGGUGUAGAUCAGACCUUUCUAAUUCUGAGCAAG